rnacentral:tRNA from 1 species
CGCGGCGUAGCUCAGCCAGGAUAGAGCCCCUGUUUUCGACAUGGACUGGGCGGUGACACGCCAGACUAUGGGCAGGGCGGUCGCGGGUUCAAGUCCCGCCGCCGCGUCCC